GUUUUAAGUACAUAUUAAUAAUGAUAAUAUGUAUAAAAGUCUUGACCAAUUACGUGCCAGCAGUCGCGGUAAUACGUAGGAGACGAGCAUUAUUCAUUUUAAAUAGGUUUAAAGGGUACCCAAACGGUCAAUAUAUCUUAAAUAAAGAAGCACUUGACUAGAGUUAUAUGUAAGAAGACCGUACUUGAGGUGGAGAGAUUAUAUCCGAUGAUACCAAGGGGACUGGUGACGGCGAAGGCUGUCUUUUAUGUAAUAACUGACGUUGGAGGACGAAGGUUUAGAGCACUAACAGGAUUUGACACCCUAGUAGUCUUUACAGACAAUGAUGAAUGCCAUUAACUAGAUUGUAAUUUAGUUUUAUAAAUGAAAAUGAAAGCAUUUCACCUCAAGAGUAAUGUGGCAACGC
rnacentral:rRNA from 2 species